UAUGAAGAACGUAGCAAAAUGCGAUACUUGGUGUGAAUUGCAGAAUCCCGUGAACCAUCGAGUUUUUGAACGCAAGUUGCGCCCGAAGCCAUUAGGCCGAGGGCACGCCUGCCUGGGCGUCACACGUCGUUGCCCCCCCCAUCUACUCCUUCGGGAUUGCGGGGGGCGGAUGAUGGCCUCCCGUGCGCCUCGCCGCGCGGUUGGCAUAAAUGCCAAGUCCUCGGCGAUGCACGCCACGACAAUCGGUGGUUGCGAAACCUCGGUUGCCCGUCGUGUGCGGUCGUCGCGCAUCGAGGGCUCGAAAAAAUUGCCGGGUUCCGGCUCGGCUUUCAACGCGACCCCAGGUCAGGCGGGGUUACCCGCUGAAUUUAAGCAUAUCAAUAAGCGGAGGA
rnacentral:misc_RNA from 1 species